rnacentral:piRNA from 1 species
UUUGCUCAACCAAAUAUCAAC